rnacentral:lncRNA from 1 species
CCACACCUGAAACACCUUCUAUCGCGCUGCGAGCAAACCGGCGGUCAAUGAUCACCGCCGCAGAUAAUACACCGAGUCAGUCUCCAAUUCUUCGACUGCCGCCGUGGAUAAGGAAGAGGCCGCUUAGGAAUCGACCGAUCCCCGGUACCACUUGCAGUCCGUUUCUUUACUUUGUCCUUUUCCUUCUUCAUAGAUUCGCUCUCCCCACGUGCGUAAGCACACUCCUCCCAGAACGCCUGAUCCAAAACCUUCGCAAA